rnacentral:rRNA from 1 species
GAGAGAGACAUGCGCGCAUAUCAAUAAGCGGAGGAAAAGAAACUAACAAGGAUUCCCUUAGUAACGGCGAGUGAAGCGGGAAGAGCUCAAAUUUGAAAUCUUCAAGGUUCUACCUUGACGAAUUGUAGUUUAAAGAAGUGUUUUCUGUUGGAGUUUUGGUAAAAGUUCUUUGGAAUAGGACAUCAUAGAGGGUGAGAAUCCCGUAUUUGACCAUUAUCUUCCAGCUUUGUGAUACACUUUCAAAGAGUCGGAUUGUUGGGAAUGCAGUCCAAAAUGGGUGGUAAAUUUCAUCUAAAGCUAAAUAUUGGCGAGAGACCGAUAGGCGAACAAGUACCGUGAGGGAAAGGAUGAAAAGAACUUUGAAAAGAGAGUUAAACAGUACGUGAAAUUGUCAAAAGGGAAGCGUUUGACACCAGUGUUGUUUUCUCGAAAAUCAAUUAAAAAUGAGUGGAUUUUGUGUUGUAUUGACUUUAUCAGCUUUCUGCACUCUUUUCCUUAUCUUUUUUAAUGCACUUUUCGUUUAACAAGUCAACAUCAAUUUCUUUUGUUGUAAAAGGGUCAUUGGAAGGUGGCUUUCUUUUCGGAGAAAGUGUUUAUAGCCUUUGGCCUCUGCAAUCGGAGAGAUUGAGGUCUGCAGCGUAGAUCCUUCGGGGUUAGAUACAUUUGUGCUAAGUUAUAGCCUUUCAUAGACAACUUGUUGACUAUGAUCAGUCAUGUAGCUUACUCGCUUAUGCUAUUUUACCUACGCUUAGGAUGUUGACAGCAGUAUAGACUGU